rnacentral:rRNA from 1 species
AGUGAACGCUGGCGGUAGGCCUAACACAUGCGAGUCGAACGGCAGCACAGUAAGAGCUUGCUCUUACGGGUGGCGAGUGGCGGACGGGUGAGGAAUACAUCGGAAUCUACUUUUUCGUGGGGGAUAACGUAGGGAAACUUACGCUAAUACCGCAUACGACCUACGGGUGAAAGCAGGGGAUCUUCGGACCUUGCGCGAUUGAAUGAGCCGAUGUCGGAUUAGCUAGUUGGCGGGGUAAAGGCCCACCAAGGCGACGAUCCGUAGCUGGUCUGAGAGGAUGAUCAGCCACACUGGAACUGAGACACGGUCCAGACUCCUACGGGAGGCAGCAGUGGGGAAUAUUGGACAAUGGGCGCAAGCCUGAUCCAGCCAUACCGCGUGGGUGAAGAAGGCCUUCGGGUUGUAAAGCCCUUUUGUUGGGAAAGAGAAGCAGCAGGUUAAUACCCCGCUGUUCUGACGGUACCCAAAGAAUAAGCACCGGCUAACUUCGUG